rnacentral:piRNA from 1 species
AUAAUUGGCUGGUGCUCAGGGAUC